rnacentral:tRNA from 1 species
UGGGGGAUCGUCUAGCGGCAGGACAGCGGACUCUGACUCCGUUAACCGAGGUUCGAAUCCUCGUCCCCCAGCCA